CAUGGUAUACUUGUCUUUCAUGUUUUAUGCAUCCAACCAUUCUUUUUAUUAGGGAGUCGUGUUGAUGUAUAUGAAGAUGGAUUUGAGAACCCUUUAAUAUUGAUGAGUUAGUCUGUAUGCAUGCGAAGGGAUUAGAGAAUUCAAUUUGCAUGAUAACUGCUAUUACAAUAAUACUUCAGGUCAUGUUUAAUUUGAUCUCUCUUUGCUGUCCUGAUAUUGCUUUUGCAAAGUUAUAGUUAAUGAUAGUAUUUUGUUGUUGAGCAACAAACUAGUUCCUUAAUAUGUUUGCUUUAAGCCACAACGUCCCAAAUAUUUCUUGAUGGAUGCCUCAUGAGGUCUGAAAAUUAUAGCUUCUUUGAUGAGUAUGCAGGGCUAGGGGAUAAGGCUGUUUGUGGCAACAAAACUAGGACGAAUUCGAGCGGCCGCAAAGCAGGCGCUUUUGGAAGUAGUUCAAGCUGCACCAAACAGCAUAGGAUACUAUGCAAGAGGGAAGGUUGAUGUUUCUGGAAGGGGGUUACAUGGCUCCAGAGUACCUAGCUCAUGGUCAGUUAACAGAAAAGGCAGAUGUAUAUAGUUUUGGAGUGUUAGUCUUAGAAAUAGUUACUGGGAGACAGAAUAACAGAAGCAAAUCAACAGAAUACUCAGACAGCAUAGUUAUACUCAACCAGGGUUUGGAAAGAACCCAAUUCUGACAGAGAACUGCUUUGAUUAUUGCCCAACUCAUCGAGAACUACUUUGCUUGGCUUCUCAAAGUCUUGCGCCUCUGUUCUAAGAUUGACCUUCUUCUAUUCUGUUUCCUUCUUGUUCUGAAUGUUAUUUUUUCUAUUUCUGGAAGCUCCCCAUGUCGCCAAAAUCCCGAGAUGUUUGUAUUGUUGGUGUUGCAAGGACUCUAAUGGGGGAUCUACUUGGCAACCUAUCAUCUCUAUCAGCAACACAACUAGGCUCAAUUGUUAUCAACUAGGCUCAAUUGUUGCAGCUACCAUGCUUGCAGUACAUUGUAGAAGCAA